rnacentral:lncRNA from 1 species
CUGCCAUCGGUCCUUCAAAGAGUCCCUGGUUUAACGGACUCCACACAGGACACACCAAUGAGGCCCGAAGCUGGGUCUGGUUUGUUUGUUUGUUUGUUCCCUUUUGGGCAGGUAUGAGAUGGUGCUGCCGGCCUUGAGGUGGAACCAAAAAAGCGUCUUUACAAAUGGGAUCCGCCCUCCUGGGACAGGCCUCCAGGCUCUCCCUUGAAAGCUGGAACAAAGAUCCCAGAACCCCCUGGGAGCUCUGAAGACCAGAGUUCAUGAGCAAGGCGUUAAGAUUAGGGUGUGGAGAUCCUGGAAACGGAGGGGGAGAAGACUGGGAUUAAAGAGAGUCCUGGAGUGUGUGAGUGUGCGUGUGUAUGAGUGAUUGUGAGUGUGUAUGAGUGUGAGUGUGUGCGUGGGCGUGUGAAGGGGUACAGAGAGGGAGAAGGCAGGUUUUGAACUUGAGGCCUUUGGGAGGCUUUGACACACAGCAAGAGGUAAAGAUGGCAAAAGCAGGGACUGCGGGGGUGGCCUUGGGAGUGGCGGGUUCCCAUAGGGCGGGAGAGGCGGGAAGAUGGCGGCCUCCCUGGCUUGUCAGUCCGGGUCCCGCCCGGCCGCCCCUGGGAGGCCACAACACGCCAGCUCGUCCCCUCGAAGACAGGCCGGCUGCUUGCCGGAAGCCUCUGGAUGGAGCCGGUGGUCCUCGGACGACAGCCUGAUCUUGAGCACGCGGUGAGGCCGGGGCCUUCUAGCCUGCCGAAGCCCUUCAUCUCACAGGUCUUCCCCCUACUGGGGAAAAUCAAAGAAACAAACACAAGACGGCAAGCAAAUGGAACAAACCUCUUUACCAAGAUGGAGGGUCAAGCACUGUCUACCUUGGCUUUGGGGACAAAUGGGGCUCUUUCUUGCUACCUCUUAGUCAGAGGAAAAGGAUUCAUCCGCACCCAGAUAUGUGCAAAUGGCUCUGUUUUGUGCCAUUAAGUAAAGGCCAGGAAGCCAAGGGGUGCUCAGCAGUUGGGAAAUGGUUGCACAGAUUAUGGCACAGGAAUGUCACCUGACAUGAUAGAAGCGGUGGGUGCAAGGCCUGGCUGGUGCUGAAAUCAGUCCCCAAUCACAUAGCCUUUUUCUGCCUCCAUUUCCUCAGCUGUAAAACGGAGAUUACAAUCUGAUCAUCCCAUCAGCUCACAGGCACUGGAGCUAGAAGAGACUUCAGAGCUUUUCUGGUCCCAGCUGCUCCUCGAAGAGCCCAGAGGAGUGACGGGGGCAGUCCAGGAGCCAGGCCUGAACCUCCCACUCAGGGCUCCCCCUGGGCCCCUUCACUGUCCGGGAAGGCUUGGGUUCCUUUCUCUCCUUUGCCUCAUUUUUCCACCCCUUUGGAAACUCUGGAUUUUCCCGACUGAAUUCUCAUCAAGCUGGUGAAGACAGCGGCAGGAGCCCAUCCUUCCUGCUGACUCCUGGGGCAAUGCCGGAAGUGAGAGCCACUCAGCAUCCUUCCUCCCCGGGGGCUGGACCAAGGGCACCUUAGCAUUCCUCAGGGCUGGUGAAGAGAAUUCC